CGCGCAAAAGGGGAGCUAAGGCAAAAAAGAGAUCAGAUCAUAAGACCCUCGUAUCCCUUGGGAGAAAAACGGCGCAACACUCAGGCCCCUCCCUUCUUCUUUCUUCUUCUUCAUUUUUCCAAAGAUACACACAGAUAUCCCCUCAAAAAACGAAAAAGCAGCCUUUCCUUCAUGAUAUCCAAAAUUAGAUACCCUUCCCAUUAGAGACCAGGCGUCGUUUCCUUGAAAAAACAGAGAGAGAACAGAACUCCAUCUCCAACACCUUCAGUUGCCUCAACAGCCGUCUCCCUCGUUUUCUGCUUCGCUUCUGUCGUCGGCGAACUCACCAGAAACAUAAGAGUUGCGGUGCACUCCCCCUUCCAUCUCUCACCUUCUCACGAAUUUUCUAAGUUCAAAAGGGAUUCUCAAAUCUGAAAAUUUCAAAAAAAAAAAAAGAAGAAGAAGCUGUGGUUGAAAAAUUAUUGCUGCUCUUUGUUCGGAUCUGCCGGUCUGCUGUCAGAGUUUUCAGGAGAAAAUUUUAAUUUCCUUAUGAGCUGACUCUGCCCAAAUCCAUAGACUCGUUAUGUGUAUUUUUGACUUGUAUUCACUUUCUCUGUUAAGUUCUGGAAUUAUUAUUUUAGAUUUGUUCUGAUUUUGGAUUUAACAUGUCUAAGUAUAAAUUUGUCCGAAAUUCUUUUCU